AUGGCAGUCGACCAGCAGCGCUGCGUGAAGCUGAUGGUUAGCUACGGCGGGAGGAUCGAGCGCGCCCAGGAUCAGCCGCCGAGGUACGUCGACGGCGAGCACCUGCUCCUCAACGUCGUCUCGUCCGUCUCGACGAGGGGCUUCCGCGACCUGCUGGCGGCGCGCGCAGGCUUCUCCGACUUCUCCAUCAAGUACUGCUACUCCGGCGAGGGGCUGGACUCGCUCCGCGGCGUGGACACGGACGAGGACCUGCGGGACAUGCUGGACAUGCUGCUCUACCGUGAUCUGCGGGUCCGGCUGUUCAACGACCAGAACACGCGUCGGUUCCGGGUCUACCUGUUCCGCGACGCUGCUGCCGCCGCCGCCCCGUCGCCGACCUCCCAGGCCCUCGGAAAACCAGCUCCCAUGCGGCGUAGCGUGACGUCGCCGGCGAAGCCAGCCGACGUCGACCGGCGGCCCUCCCAGGGCCUGGCCGCUCCCGCUCCCUCUCUCGUGCCGCGGAUCAUGACUUCGCCGAAUCCGUUGUGCGAGACGUCGACGGCUGGCACGGCGCCCUCCAAGCCGCCGCUCGCCCCUGCUCUCGGACGGCGGAUAGCGUCGUCGCCUUUGUUGAUGGCAGACUCGAUAAAUGACACGGCUUCUUUGAUCACCACUACGUCGACAUCAGCAGCCAGAGCUACCCAACAUACACAACCCCACGCUGCGGCAUUCCGGCCGGCAGAGCUGAGUAAUCCGUUGUGCAAGACGUCGACGGCUGGCACGGCGCCCUCCAAGCCGCCGCUCGCCCCUGCUCUCGGACGGCGGAUAGCGUCGUCGCCUUUGUUGACGGCAGACUCGAUAAAUGACACGGCUUCUUUGAUCACCACUACGUCGACAUCAGCAGCCAGAGCUACCCAACAUACACAACCCCACGCCGCGGCGUUCCGGCCGGCAGAGCUGACUAAUCCGGUGUGCCAGGCGGCUCCAGUAUUCUUGGUGCCAGUAAUGCCGCAGGUCAUAAUCCACCGCCCGGCGAUCAUCCUCGUACCCGUGUUCAAUUCUAAGGUGGCCAUGGGCUGA
rnacentral:rRNA from 1 species